rnacentral:rRNA from 1 species
UAGUCCACGCCGUAAACGAUGGGUACUAGGCGUCGGGGGAGCGACCCCUUCGGUGCCGUCGCUAACGCAGUAAGUACCCCGCCUGGGGAGUACGGCCGCAAGGCUGAAACUCAAAGGAAUUGACGGGGGCCCGCACAAGCGGUGGAGCAUGUGGUUUAAUUCGAUGCAACGCGAAGAACCUUACCUGGGCUUGACAUGUACGUGUAAUCCCGUGGAAACACGGGCCCCUCUUCGGAGCGCGUAUACAGGUGCUGCAUGGCUGUCGUCAGCUCGUGUCGUGAGAUGUUGGGUUAAGUCCCGCAACGAGCGCAACCCCGCUCCCAGUUGCCAGCGGUUCGGCCGGGGACUCUGGGGGACUGCCGGUGUCAGACCGGAGGAAGGUGGGGAUGACGUCAAGUCAGCAUGGCCCUUACGCCCAGGGCUACACACGUGCUGCAAUGGCCGGCACAACGCGCUGCGAGCCCGCGAGGGUGAGCCAAUCGCUAAAAGCCGGUCUAAGUUCGGAUUGCAGUCUGUAACUCGA